GAGUUUGAUCGUGGCUCAGAUUGAACGCUGGCGGCAUGCCUUACACAUGCAAGUCGAACGGCAGCAUGAUCUAGCUUGCUAGAUUGAUGGCGAGUGGCGAACGGGUGAGUAAUACAUCGGAACGUGCCCUGUAGUGGGGGAUAACUAGUCGAAAGAUUAGCUAAUACCGCAUACGACCUGAGGGUGAAAGUGGGGGACCGCAAGGCCUCAUGCUAUAGGAGCGGCCGAUGUCUGAUUAGCUAGUUGGUGGGGUAAAGGCCCACCAAGGCGACGAUCAGUAGCUGGUCUGAGAGGACGAUCAGCCACACUGGGACUGAGACACGGCCCAGACUCCUACGGGAGGCAGCAGUGGGGAAUUUUGGACAAUGGGGGCAACCCUGAUCCAGCAAUGCCGCGUGUGUGAAGAA
rnacentral:rRNA from 1 species